rnacentral:misc_RNA from 1 species
UUAACUUGUUUGCUUUUCUUCGAGAUGCCAACGCAACGAGACAGAGUAUAGUGGGCUGCCGGUGGAAUUAGGACCCCCGCCGAGACAUCCGCUGAAGCAGCGUGCUUGUUGUGAAGUUCACAGGGUGGUAUGAGUCUUGCGAGUCCUGUAAUGACCCCUCCGCUGGUUCACUAACGGGGA